GCCUAGGGGAGGCAGCGGUGGGGAAUCUUAGACAAUGCAGCAGAGCAUAAUCACAGCAAAUGGAGCGAAGCAGAAGCCGCCACGCCGGGAAGUGAUGAAGGUCGUAGGAAGUAAUGUCUUCACAGAGAAGAUAAUGACGUACCUCAGAGAGCC
rnacentral:rRNA from 1 species